GAGAAUCCUGAAUUCGAAAGGGGUUUGGAGUCCAGCAGUUCUGGAAUCGGGCCGUCCCCUGCCAGAUGGCGUCGGUCGCCCGCGGCGAUUCACUUCGCUCGCGGUGUCGAUCCCGACCUGUCACUCGGCGGGGGGCCGUUAAGACGAGACCGGAGCGCCGCAUUUCCACCCUAGUAGAAACGUCGCGACCCGUUGGGUGCCGGUCUCAAGGCCCGGGAAGGCAGACCGCUGCGUUUCGCGGGGGCUCCCGCGGGCGUGCGGACUCCCGGUGUCCCGACCGGCUGCCCGACGGUAAGACCAGAGGAGUCGAUCCGCUGUUGUAAGAAACACUUUGGUUGUGAAGCGUCCGGCCCGGCGCCGAUGCGCGACGAGGCUUAGGGGUAUAUGUCUAUAGGUGUGACCCCAGGGAAUCAACCGUGCCCGGCACGGUCCCGGCCUCUCGCGGUCUCGGCUGUCGUUGUGUCCUCGGACCGGAUCGGUACUCCCGUCUGCGACGCCCAUCUUCGGAUGGUCUCCCGACCCGUCUUGAA
rnacentral:rRNA from 1 species